rnacentral:snRNA from 1 species
UUACUACCUGGCAGGGGAGACACCUUGGUCACAAAGGAGAUUUUCCCAGGGCGAGGCUCAGCCAUUGCACUCCAGCUGUGCUGACCCCUGCGAUUUCCCCAAAUGGGGGAAAUUCGCCUGCAUAAUUUGUGGUAGUGGGGGACUGUAUGCAUGCUUUCA